UACAGAGGUGGCAAGCGUUGUUCGGAAUUACUGGGCGUAAAGGGCGCGUAGGCGGCCUCGCAAGUCCCGUGUGAAAUCCCUCGGCUCAACUGAGGAAUGGCACGGGAAACUGCGGGGCUUGAGUUCGGGAGAGGGAAGCGGAAUUCCGGGUGUAGCAGUGAAAUGCGUAGAGAUGCGGAGGAACACCGAUGGCGAAGGCAGCCCCCUGGGCCAACACUGACGCUCAGGCACGAAAGCGUGGGGAGCAAACAGG
rnacentral:rRNA from 1 species